CCAAUAGCGUAUAUUAAAGUUGUUGCAGUUAAAAAGCUCGUAGUUGAAUUUCGGGAUCAAUUUAUUGGUCGUGCAAUCGUACGUACUGGUAUUAUUGAUUCCUACCUUCUGACGAACCAUGAUGUCAUUAAUUUGGUGUCAUGGGGAAUCAGGACUGUUACUUUGAAUAAAUUAGAGUGUUUAAAGCAGGCUCACGCUUGAAUACAUUAGCAUGGAAUAACGAAAUAGGACGUUUGAUUCUAUUUUGUUGGUUUCUAGGAUCGACGUAAUGAUUAAUAGGGAUAGUUGGAGGCAUUAGUAUUCAAUUGUCAGAGGUGAAAUUCUUGGAUUUAUUGAAGACUAACUACUGCGAAAGCAUUUGCCAAGGAUGUUUUCAUUAACCAAGAACGAAAGUUAGGGGAUCGAAGACGAUCAGAUACCGUCGUAGGCUUAACCAUAAACUAUGCCGACUAGGGAUCGGAUGAUGUUAAUUUUUUAAUGACUCAUUCGGCGCCUUACG
rnacentral:rRNA from 1 species